CUUGAUGGAGCCGAGCAGCAGGGGCUGUCCUUCGGGCCGCUCCUGGCCGUAGGUGGCGAGCAGCGCCUGCGCCUC
rnacentral:antisense_RNA from 1 species